UUGCAUGUUUUCUUUUUUUCUUCUUUUUCUUUUUACCACCACCUUUCCCCAACAUGUACAUGUAUUGUUCAAAGCUAGAAUGGAUAUAUUUCACUGACAAAAAAAGAAAAAAUCACAAAUGAUGCUACUUUCUUCUGUAGUAUUUCUUA
rnacentral:ribozyme from 1 species